rnacentral:rRNA from 1 species
UGAGGAAUAUUGGUCAAUGGACGAGAGCCUGAACCAGCCAAGUCGCGUGAAGGAAGACUGCCUUAUGGGUUGUAAACUUCUUUUAUACAGGAAUAAAAAGGCUUACGUGUAGGCCAUUGCAAGUACUGUAUGAAUAAGCAUCGGCUAACUCCGUGCCAGCAGCCGCGGUAAUACGGAGGAUGCGAGCGUUAUCCGGAUUUAUUGGGUUUAAAGGGUGCGCAGGCGGGCUUUUAAGUCAGCGGUGAAAUCUGGACGCUUAACGUCCAACUGCCGUUGAAACUGGGAGUCUUGAGUAUGGAUGAAGUAGGCGGAAUUCGUUGUGUAGCGGUGACAUGCAUAGAUAUAACGAGGAACUCCGAUUGCGUAGGCAGCUUACUAAGCCAUAACUGACGCUCAUGCACGAAAGCGUGGGGAUCAAACAGGAUUAGAUACCCUGGUAGUCCACGCCGUAAACGAUGAUUACUAGUUGUAUGCGAUAUGAUAGUAUGUGACU